AACGAACGCUGGCGGCGUGUCUUAAGCAUGCAAGUCGAGCGGCAAGGAAGUGCUUGCACUUCCCCAGAGCGGCGGACUGGUGAGUAACGCGUGGGUGAUCUACCUCGGGGUUGGGGAUAGCCAUUAGAAAUAGUGGGUAAUACCGAAUACGCUUCCAGGGCUACGGCCGUGGAAGGAAAGGCGCUACGGCGCCGACCUGAGAUGAGCCCGCGUCCCAUUAGCUAGUUGGUGAGGUAACGGCCCACCAAGGCGAUGAUGGGUAGGCGGCCUGAGAGGGUGUACGCCCACAUUGGGACUGAGAUACGGCCCAAACUCCUACGGGAGGCAGCAGCUAAGAAUAUUCCGCAAUGGACGAAAGUCUGACGGAGCGACGCCGCGUGGAUGAUGAAGGCCGGAAGGUUGUAAAAUCCUUUUGUCGGGGAAGAAUAAGCGUGGGAGGGAAUGCCCGCGUGAUGACAUGAACCGGCGAAUAAGCCCCGGCUAACUACGUGCCAGCAGCCGCGAUAAAACGU
rnacentral:rRNA from 1 species